UCUCCCUCGCCUCGCGUUUCUCCCUCUCCACACGGCACAGAGCCUCAGACCUCUCUCCCACGCCUCUCUCCCUCGCCUCUCUGCCUCGCGUCAGCUCAGCCCCUCUCUUCCCUUGCGUGCACAGCGCCCAGCACAGCCCCUCUCUUCCUCGCGUGCACGACCUCCUAGCACAGCCCCUCACCUCAAGCACAAUGACGCCAUUGUUAGCCCCUCAAAUGCUGUUAUCUUUGGUGUUGCAGUGUGCAGUCUACAAGUGUUUUUUUUUUAAUUUAUGCCAUGGCCCGUGUGUUUGUACUUUGUACUUUGUACAAAGUUUGUAUUUUGUGUUAGUCUUACUGUGUUAGACUGUUUGGAUUGAUUUUGUGGACUGUUGAUGUAUAUACUUGGUGUUGGUGGUGGAGUUAAAAAUGGUGGGCAGAUAUAGUUUAGUGGGUGUGGCCUGUGACAGUGUAAUGGUUGUAUUGUGUAUUGCGG
rnacentral:lncRNA from 1 species